rnacentral:rRNA from 1 species
UACGGAGGGUGCAAACGUUGCUCGGAAUUAUUGGGCGUAAAGCGCACGUAGGCGGCUAUCUAAGUCGGAUGUGAAAUCCCUCGGCUUAACCAAGGAAGUGCACCCGAAACUGGAUAGCUUGAGUACAGAAGAGGAUCGCGGAAUUCCCGGUGUAGAGGUGAAAUUCGUAGAUAUCGGGAGGAACACCAGUGGCGAAGGCGGCGAUCUGGGCUGAUACUGACGCUGAGGUGCGAAAGCGUGGGGAGCAAACAGG